UUCUUCUAUUUUACAUCCCUACAUCUCUUAGGGGCUGUUUGGUUAUAUGUAAUUAUAAAUACAGUGUAGUUAAAGAUGCAUGCAGUUGGAAAUACAGCAAUUACAACUAUAUGAAUCAUAUUUGGUUGGAUGUAGUAGAAAAUGCUGCAAGUAUAAAUAAUUUAUUUGGUUGCAUGCAGCUGAGAAAUAAUUUUUAAAAUUUUAUUAUUUUAUAUAUAUGAUGGUAAGAUUACCUCCAAUAUAAAAAAGAAAAAUAAUUUUUGUUUAAAAAAUAUUGAGGAGGUAAGUAUACCUUUUAUUUAAAGUUACUCUCUCCAAUUGCUGUACUUGAAAUUGCGGUCAAUUUGGGCGUAGUUCGAACUACUGUAAUUGGGCCUCCUCUGCAGUUCCUACUGUAGCCGUUGGAGUUAAAUAAAUCAAACCAAACAUGAAAUUUGCAUUUACAUGCAGUUACAACUGCAGUACAGUUACAACUACAUGCAACCAAACGGCUCCUUAAUGUAACUUAGCUUAUUAGUCGUGUUU
rnacentral:lncRNA from 1 species